rnacentral:tRNA from 1 species
GGGGAUAUAGCUCAGUUGGUACAGUAUUUGCCUUGGAUUCACAAGGCCCUGGAUUUGAUUCCCAGUACCCCCA